AUGCGCUGUUGUUCUCUGAAGCGAGCUGAUAUUGAAAGACAUUAUUAGAGAAUGGUUCAACGUUAUUAUCUCCUUAAUAGAUUUAAUGACAUUAAUUUUCAGCACACAUACAUUGCUUCUUUUCCAGAAGAAUUACAGCCAGAGUUACAUCGGUCUCUUGCAGCAACCAGAAGGGAUAUGAAUAGUAUCUCAAUUGGUGAAAUUCACCAA
rnacentral:misc_RNA from 1 species